rnacentral:rRNA from 1 species
AGUGGCGGACGGGUGAGUAACGCGUGAGAAUCUGCCUUGGGGUCGGGGACAACCACUGGAAACGGUGGCUAAUACCGGAUAAGCCGAUUGGUGAAAGAUUUAUUGCCCGAAGAGGAGCUCGCGUCUGAUUAGCUAGUUGGUGAGGUAAGAGCUCACCAAGGCAGCGAUCAGUAGCUGGUCUGAGAGGACGAUCAGCCACACUGGGACUGAGACACGGCCCAGACUCCUACGGGAGGCAGCAGUGGGUAAUUUUCCGCAAUGGGCGAAAGCCUGACGGAGCAAGACCGCGUGAGGGAGGAAGGCUCCUGGGUUGUAAACCUCUUUUCUCAGGGAAGAAGCUCUGACGGUACCUGAGGAAUCAGCCUCGGCUAACUCCGUGCCAGCAGCCGCGGUAAUACGGAGGAGGCAAGCGUUAUCCGGAAUUAUUGGGCGUAAAGCGUCCGCAGGUGGCGAUUCAAGUCUGCUGUCAAAGCACGGGGCUUAACUCCGUAAAGGCAGUGGAAACUGAAUAGCUAGAGUGCCGUAGGGGUAGAGGGAAUUCCCGGUGUAGCGGUGAAAUGCGUAGAGAUCGGGAAGAACAUCGGUGGCGAAAGCGCUCUACUGGACGGCAACUGACACUCAGGGACGAAAGCUAGGGGAGCGAAUGGGAUUAGAUACCCC